GACCUGUUAGCUCAGUUGGUAGAGGAUUGGGCUUUUAAUCCAAUGGUCGUGGGUUUAAGUCCCACAUAGGGCG
rnacentral:tRNA from 1 species